rnacentral:lncRNA from 1 species
AAUCACACAGGGCAGCCAUGUACGCAGGAAGCUGUUUCUGGAAAGCAGAGAAGGAAAGAGCCUUUGACCCACGCACAUUAAUCCAAGGGCCAAAGAAAAUCAAGCACUUUGCUUCAAGCAAAACUGAGAUCUCCAUGCAGAAAGAGACAGGUCUGGGUUUGAAUCCUGGCUCCACCACUCAACAGCCAUGCACCUGGACCAAGGAGCUCAGCGGAGUGGUCACUCUCGGGAUGUCUGCAGCCAUCAUCCACAGUCCUGGGGCAAUCACUUAGGC